AGGAGAUUAAAACGUUUAUAGAUACUGCUGGAGCCGCUUUCCAUUUAUUUAUCAGGUGUCCGAAACAAAGUAAACAUCCUGAAAGGUGGUGAUGAUGCACUCCUGUUUGCUUGUCACGUUGGGGUCAAAGGGCAAGAUCCUGGCAUUUCCUGAGAGUGCAUGCUGGAUGAAAAGGAACAAACAUCUCUAUUUAUAAGAAGCUGCGAUGUCCCACACGUGUCAGAGUUUGGGGUGUGUGGGCAGUGUGUAAACUGAGGAAAACCCACCUGGCGGAAGGCAAACAAACUCCUAUCAACAGCACGGGGUGUGUGUGUGUGGAGGCUGAGGACUGCUGCUACAUCAAAGCCUGAGCUCCAGGGGUCUGGAGACCACACGGAUGCUGUGCUUUCAUGACUGAUGGGUGCAAUGUCAGAGCCCCAGGAGCCUUUGAACAGUGUUCGCUUUGACAUUACGCCAGAUGUGAUGACAAACGAGCUGUGACAGACAGAAGAGUGAACACUGGGCAACAUAAAAAGGAAUCUUUGUAGUGUAUACUUGAUUUUUGCAUAAGGUACUGUUCUAUAAUUCAUAAAUUGCUUUUUUAGAGGUAACACCUGUAAUUUAUGAGUCAGUUAGGGCAAGAUAACGUCUGAUACCGACGGUGGGUUUAAACGGGUACAAAAUUAUGCGUAUGCGGCUGAUAGUUUUAAAGAUUGGUGCUGAAGAUGAUUAGUUUGGAGUAGGUUAGUUAGAUGAAGCGAAUCGAUGUUAGAAAUCGAUAUUUAACCGUGAUGAGUCAGGCUCUCUCUCUCUUUCUCUCUCUCUCUCUACACAAAUCGAGCUCAGUGUUAAUUAAAGGAAGGCUUGGCUUACAUUAUGCA